rnacentral:rRNA from 1 species
GACGAACGCUGGCGGCGUGCUUAACACAUGCAAGUCGUACGGUAAGGCCCUUUCGGGGGUACACGAGUGGCGAACGGGUGAGUAAUACGUGAGUAACCUGCCCACAACUUUGGGAUAACGCUAGGAAACUGGUGCUAAUACUGGAUAUGUGCUCCUGCUGCAUGGUGGGGGUUGGAAAGCUCCGGCGGUUGUGGAUGGACUCGCGGCCUAUCAGCUUGUUGGUGGGGUAGUGGCCUACCAAGGCGGCGACGGGUAGCCGGCCUGAGAGGGUGACCGGCCACAUUGGGACUGAGAUACGGCCCAGACUCCUACGGGAGGCAGCAGUGGGGAAUAUUGCACAAUGGGCGCAAGCCUGAUGCAGCAACGCCGCGUGCGGGAUGACGGCCUUCGGGUUGUAAACCGCUUUCAGCAGGGACGAAGCUUUUUGUGACGGUACCUGCAGAAGAAGCACCGGCUAACUACGUG